rnacentral:rRNA from 1 species
UGGUGGAGUGAUUUGUCUGGUUAAUUCCGAUAACGAACGAGACCUCUACCUGUCAUACUACAAGGUUCGAUGUGAAUCGGGACUUGUUCUAUGAGGGACUGACUGGGGUUACCAGUAGGAAGUUUGAGGCAAUAACA